GACGAACGCUGGCGGCGUGCUUAACACAUGCAAGUCGAACGGAAAGGCCCUGCUUUUGUGGGGUGCUCGAGUGGCGAACGGGUGAGUAACACGUGAGUAACCUGCCCUUGACUUUGGGAUAACUUCAGGAAACUGGGGCUAAUACCGGAUAGGAGCUCCUGCUGCAUGGUGGGGGUUGGAAAGUUUCGGCGGUUGGGGAUGGACUCGCGGCUUAUCAGCUUGUUGGUGGGGUAGUGGCUUACCAAGGCUUUGACGGGUAGCCGGCCUGAGAGGGUGACCGGCCACAUUGGGACUGAGAUACGGCCCAGACUCCUACGGGAGGCAGCAGUGGGGAAUAUUGCACAAUGGGCGGAAGCCUGAUGCAGCAACGCCGCGUGCGGGAUGACGGCCUUCGGGUUGUAAACCGCUUUCGCCUGUGACGAAGCGUGAGUGACGGUAAUGGGUAAAGAAGCACCGGCUAACUACGUGCCAGCAGCCGCGGUGAUACGUAGGGUGCGAGCGUUGUCCGGAUUUAUUGGGCGUAAAGGGCUCAUAGGUGGUUGAUCGCGUCGGAAGUGUAAUCUUGGGGCUUAACCCUGAGCGUGCUUUCGAUACGGGUUGACUUGAGGAAGGUAGGGGAGAAUGGAAUUCCUGGUGGAGCGGUGGAAUGCGCAGAUAUCAGGAGGAACACCAGUGGCGAAGGCGGUUCUCUGGGCCUUUCCUGACGCUGAGGAGCGAAAGCGUGGGGAGCGAACAGGCUUAGAUACCCUGGUAGUCCACGCUGUAAACGGUGGGUACUAGGUGUGGGGUCCAUUCCACGGGUUCCGUGCCGUAGCUAACGCUUUAAGUACCCCGCCUGGGGAGUACGGCCGCAAGGCUAAAACUCAAAGGAAUUGACGGGGCCCCGCACAAGCGGCGGAGCAUGCGGAUUAAUUCGAUGCAACGCGUAGAACCUUACCUGGGUUUGACAUGGAUCGGGAGUGCUCAGAGAUGGGUGUGCCUCUUUUGGGGUCGGUUCACAGGUGGUGCAUGGCUGUCGUCAGCUCGUGUCGUGAGAUGUUGGGUUAAGUCCCGCAACGAGCGCAACCCCUGUUCACUGUUGCCAGCACGUUAUGGUGGGGACUCAGUGGAGACCGCCGGGGUCAACUCGGAGGAAGGUGGGGAUGACGUCAAGUCAUCAUGCCCCUUAUGUCCAGGGCUUCACGCAUGCUACAAUGGCUGGUACAGAGAGUGGCGAGCCUGUGAGGGUGAGCGAAUCUCGGAAAGCCGGUCUCAGUUCGGAUUGGGGUCUGCAACUCGACCUCAUGAAGUCGGAGUCGCUAGUAAUCGCAGAUCAGCAACGCUGCGGUGAAUACGUUCCCGGG
rnacentral:rRNA from 1 species